CAGUCGCCACGGUAAAACGUAGGGUGCGAGCGUUAAUCGGAAUUACUGGGCGUAAAGCGGGCGCAGACGGUUACUUAAGCAGGAUGUGAAAUCCCCGGGCUCAACCUGGGAACUGCGUUCUGAACUGGGUGACUAGAGUGUGUCAGAGGGAGGUAGAAUUCCACGUGUAGCAGUGAAAUGCGUAGAGAUGUGGAGGAAUACCGAUGGCGAAGGCAGCCUCCUAGGAUAACACUGACGUUCAUGCCCGAAAGCGUGGGUAGCAAACAGGAUUAGAUACCCCCGUAGUCCCUGUCUCUUAUAC
rnacentral:rRNA from 1 species